rnacentral:lncRNA from 1 species
UUUUUUUUUUUUUUAAUUUGGCUAAUGGACAAAAAUUGUUUUAUUCAAAUCUAAAUAAAAUGUUAUUAUCUCCCUAUUACUUACAUUGUACAUAGAAUGGAUGCUACUUUGUAAUUCCUUGUACAUGAGAGAUGUCUGUCAAAUCUUUAUUUCCAAAUGAAUGAAUUGCAUAACAAUGAACUGAGCUCAAAGCAAAGCACUUUCAUAAUACACUUAGACAAAGAGCUCAAUCCAGUGAUAUACUUUGUACUAAUUACAGGUCCUUCACGAACAUCGACCAAACCCAUAUCUCAAUAACAUGCCAUACUACAUGGUUGGAUCAGAAGAC